rnacentral:lncRNA from 1 species
ACAUUCCAGGCUCUGUGAACUAAGUGACUGAAGCUGAUUGACACAGGUCAAGGGGACUUCAAGGAAGAAAGCCAGCCUUAGACUGACAUCAGAGAACCAAACUCCGGUGUCUAAGCUCAAGUAAUACAAGUAAUUGGGAAGACACUGGCUCAGAGCCUGUCUCUGGUGACCACUGAAUUGUCCAGCACCUGAGGUCCCUGGAGCCCACGGACUGAGCCCAUCUGGGCUAAAAGAGGUCCCAUACAUCCUUCUCAAAGGCCUAUAUAAAUGCCAAGCAGAGUUAUAGCAGGAGGUUAGAAUCCUGAGAACUGUUUGGAAUAAGGAAUCCAAAUAUUGUCUUCCAGCUUCACCUUGUCACGACAGUCCUCGCCAGGGACAGCUGAGACCUCUUCUCUGCCUCCCAGCUCCCAUGGCGCCUCUCUCGAUACGUGGCCUCUUCUGAUACUUACCUCAGCUUGGACACAGCUCUCUGAAGAUCAUCUACAUCUCCAUUUAUGCCGUGUGCACGCAGUACCAACAGAGGUCAGAGGAGGGUGUCGGAUCCCCUGGAACUGGAGUCACAGAUUCUUCCUUGCGUGGAUGAAACAGUCCCAACGAACACUUUAAAAAGACAAAUGUUCCCGACAGCACUGGUUGAAUUCAAAACUCGGCAGAUCCAUGUUCUUAUCCUUAGACAAGAGAGGGGCCAUAACAAGAUGGAAUGACGGAACAGACGUGAGAGAUGAUGUCCACCCAGAGGGUCUGCACUUCUCGGAGCCAGAAGGUGGAGAAGAGUAGGGAUGGAGGAAGUUCGAAGUUUUAGGAGUCUGCUCUUGGGUCCCUAGGCAUGAGGACAAGCUUUUCCUGUACUCAAUGCUCAUCUCUCAGUUGUGCCCACAUUGGUACACAUUACUUGCUUUCAACUGCUGCUGCUGCUGUUUCCUAAUUCAAUAAAGAUAUGGCUGGCUCAGCAGAGAGCUGUCAUC